rnacentral:misc_RNA from 1 species
GAUGAAGAACGUAGCGAAAUGCGAUAAGUAGUGUGAAUUGCAGAAUUCAGUGAAUCAUCGAAUCUUUGAACGCACAUUGCGCCCUUUGGUAUUCCUUAGGGCAUGCCUGUUCGAGCGUCAUUUAAACCUUCAAGCUAAGCUUGGUGUUGGGUGACUGUCCGCUUCACUGCGGACUCGCCUCAAAAUUAUUGGCGGCCGGUACAUUGGCUUCGAGCGCAGCAGAAACGCGAACUCGGGCCCGUCGUAUUGGCUCCCAGAAGCUAUCUUCACAAUUUUGACCUCGGAUCAGGUAGGAAUACCCGCUGAACUUAAGCAUAUCAAUAAGCGGAGGA